ACCAACCGUUGCGAACCAACGGUGUCCUCUUACUGAACACAUAGGUUUGAGGAUGGGAACCUGGGGAACUGAAACAUCUAAGUACCCAGAGGAAAAGAAUUAUUCCCCCAGUAGUGGCGAGCGAACGGGGAACAGCCCAAACCGUCUCUGCUUGCAGAGACGGGGUUGUAGGACCGGCAAUACGGAAGUUACAAAAUGAUCAGUUAGCGGAAAGGUGUGGGAAAGCCUGCCAAAGAGGGUAACAGCCCCGUAUGCGAAAACUGAUUGUCUUCCGCCGUGUUCCUGAGUACUGCCGGGCACGCUAAUCCGGCAGGAAUCUAGGGAGUCCACUCUCUAAGGCUAAAUACACUUGGCGACCGAUAGUGAACUAGUACCGUGAGGGAAAGGUGAAAAGUCCCCCUGUUAGGGGAGUGAAAUAGAACCUGAAACCAUAAGCUUACAAGCAGUUGGAGGGCUAACGGCAAGUUGAGCCCCCUAGAAAUAGGGGCGUUCCUUGCUAUGCCUGACAGCGUGCCUCUUGGAGAAU
rnacentral:rRNA from 1 species